GGGCCUUUAGCUCAGCCUGGUGAGAGCGUUCGCCUCAUAAGCGAUUGGUCGCAGGUUCAAAUCCUGCAAGGCCCA
rnacentral:tRNA from 1 species